GCCUGGGUGGCUCAGUCGGUUAAGCGUCCGACUUCGGCUCAGGUCACGAUCUCACAGCUCGUGGGUUCGAGCCCCGCAUCGGGCU
rnacentral:tRNA from 1 species